ensembl:lncRNA
CUGACCGCCACGCUCUCCUGUGGCACACUCAACUGCCAUGGACGAGAGAAGCAGCGCUAGAACCUCAGUCUUUCCAAAAGCAACCAAGAACUUGAACUUUGGUAAAACGUCUCCCACCUUCUCAAUGCUAGCAACUAAUUCAAACAUUUCUGAAGCCCUUUGAACAAAAUGAACCUGCCGUCAGCACAUGGGUUAUAAAUUUAAGCACUUGAAGUCAUCGCUUAGAGCUGUCUAAAGGAGGCACAACUAAUUACUAUUUACAGAAAGAUGUGACUUUUUUUUUUUUUUGAUGUUCAAGGAAGAAAAAUUACUGAGAUUUUAAAAAAUUCCACUACAAGCCUUAUUAUCAAAUUUAAUGUUAGCAACACAAUUAUAAAAAAGGCCUUUUUAAUUUGUCAAAUGAAAAAAUUGCCUAGUUAGAUUCUCUAGCUGUGCUUUGGAACGUUCUAACAAGGCAUGCUCCUGAACAGUCACAUGGGUUUUCUGCUCGCUCUCAAAGCACACAAGGAAGGCUUCCAGGCUCACUGGAGAAAUAAGCAGGAACAAUUGAAUUUUGCAUCUCUGAGCUCUGGCAUUUCUAUGCCAAAAUCAUAGCAGUGACUUUACUAGGGGAAGAAAGGUGAAGGGUGGCUUUCACAGCUUACAAAGGAAGUGUAGAGGAAAGGGAAGAUGGGGUAUGUGUAUAGAGACUUGCUCCCAGGAUUACAGCCAGUCUUGUUUGAACAGACCAAGCUAGCUGGUCAGAUUCCCAUUUGAGAGAUCAAUUUUAACCUCAACUCUUCUUUUUACAAAAGAAAUUUCACAUCCCUGCUGCCGUAUGUGCAAGGUGCUGUUAGGGCAACUUGAGAAGGAACUUGCAUUCUCCAGAAGCACUUGAUUCCAGACAACAUAAACAGUACCAUCGAGAACAUGAAAGUAGUUCUCCUAAGUGCUAAUACUUGUUUUCACAUUUUUAGGUCAACAAACUAAAAGCACCUGAUGUUGGAAAAAGUGAUUACUAGGCUAAUAUAAAGCUGCCACGAAGUUGAUGAUGGAGAGAUGCAAAGCACACUGGACUCUAGAAUUCAGGGGAUGUGGGUUAGGAGACUCCCCUCUCUCAUUAUCUCAGGCGGGUUGAGUGCUGUGGCCAAGUUUCCAUUUCUGUAAAAUGAGAGGUGCUCAACCAUCUCAAAGGCUUCCUUCCAGCGUUGGUAUUCUGUGAAGACCAAACUGAAUUUAUUGGGUCAGCCAGCAGGCAAGUCACCCCACUCAGCAUAAAGUGUCAUUUCCCUUUUUGACUCUUCAUUUACCAACAUACUUGGCAAAGAUUGCUGACAGGAUGGUCCUUCAGAGACCAUGGCUCAUGAGAGUUGGUAGCUUUAAAGACGGUUGGUGCUUAUCUACAUUUUAAUGCUUGCGACUCUGAGUGGGCAUGAAGUUUGGCAGUGCUUACCUCCCUCUAGGUGCAUAUGCUGCAAGUUGGCUUUUUCCUUUAAGUAGGCAAUCUGAAAUGGCAUACAGAAUAUGGAAAACAAGACAUUUUCCUCCCUUGUGUUUUAUUUUUCCCCCAAUUACCAAGAUAAAAGAUUUUUUUUUCUACAGUGCAGUUAGUAGCAGUCUGGAAUCUCUGAACAUGUUGUAAGCAAAGCUGAAAAAGUGUUAACUUUGUUUAAUUAAUGUUGGCUCCCAGUAUAGGAGAGCUGAAUUACCAGGUUUAUUCCACUUAAAUGACACUUCUCAAAUCACUAUGGGUCCAGGUACCACACCGAAGAGCUGAGUUCCAGGCUAUGUGGUAACUGUGGGGGCUGUAACCCUACCUGCCCCUUAACAACCAUGUCUUAUGAACCUGUAAGAUGUUUUCUAAAUUAACUCCAAAGCAGAAGUCAUAGAAACCAACAUAGAUGGUAGUAGUGACUGAGUAUAGGUGAAAAUCUACUGAGCAAGGAUUUUAUCAGAAGUUUUUUGUAAGUUAUUUUUAUAUAUAACAAACAUAUUAUAAACAUCACAAACAUAUUACACCAUAAGUGUACAUACCAACAGCUAGCGUGUCCUGGAGUCAGCAUUGGAACCUAGUUCUGAAUGACCACUGAACUUCCACUUCUUUCAAGAACACCAAGUUUAAAAGUUGAAAGAUAUGGGUAAAACACUGACUCUGCCCCUUCCAGCUAUAUGACCUUAGGCAAGCCCUUAAUUGUAAAGUGAGAGAAAAAUACUCAUUGGCUUACAACAUGUGAAAGUGUUGUUUGUGAAUCUAAAAACACUAGAAUGGGCCUUCUAAUGUGGUUCAGAUAGUGAAAUAAAUGAAAAACAG